GGUAUCUUGGAUUCAUCAGCGCUGGUCGAACUACACCGAUUUCCUCAGCAAUAAUUCUUCCAUAAGGAGAUCUGUUUACCUUUCUAUGGUUGUUUCUGAAACCCAAGACUUCAUGUAGGUGGCGUACAGGAACAUGUGCAAACACAUUCUACAUCCCAAGAUAUGUUGCUGGAAGCGUUCAAUAAAUGCUGUUAAGUUUCACCAUCAUACUACUUUUGCUGUGCACUGUUCACUGGACCAGCAGGUCCUGUG